rnacentral:lncRNA from 1 species
AACGGAGGAAAUGGCCAUGCACAGCACACCACACCGCAGUGCACCUACCUAGGGUCGGUCCUCUACCUACCAACCCCCCCACUUUAACGCUAAUCUCCAACAGAAAAAAGGCCAAAGGCGACGGAGGCUGGACUCACUGGACUGGAAGCCACCCGGCCGGCCUCCUCCUCCUCCUCCUCAGUAGCCCUCACUCUCCCACACUGCUCACUGGUUGGUCGACGAUGAUAAAAACCUCCACACGAUAGGAAUCUCAAGCCAUCCUCCUCCUCCUCCUCCUCCCGGCAGUUUCCUCCACGGCUCCACCACCCCGAGCCCAAGCCAACCGAGCAAAGCGCACGCCAAAGCGAGGGGCUUUGCCUCGAAUCCUGGGCGAGCCGAGCCACGAGCCCCACCACCACUGCUUUCGCCUUUCCGUUCAUUCCAAGAACCGGCGUACGUACAUGGAGCCGGCGGCGGCGGACGGGGCCUCGGACGAGCCGGUGCACAAGGGGCGGACCAACUCCAUCCUGCUCCCCAUCCUCGCCGUGCUCCUCGCCUACCUGCUCUACCGCUACCUCCGCCCGCGCCUCCGCGGCCUGCGCCUCGACCGCCUCCCGUUCCGCGUCCCGGACUGCCUCCGCCGCCGCGGCAAUGCCACCCGGACCACCCUGCUGCCCUACUUCGCGCCCAUCGCCGACCGCCUCGGCGCGCUGCAGCCCUACCUCGGCCCCAUCGCCGACCGCCUCGGGGUCGGCGGCCCGCACGGCCACGGCGGCGGGUACGGCGGCGCCGACGCGCUCGUCAGGUUCCCCGGCGGCGAGGGCCUGUCGGUGGCCGCCAUCCUCGAGGCGCCUGGGGAGGUGGUGGCCAAGUCGUCGCACAGCACGCUCUACCGCGCCGCCAUGCGCUCCGGGGAGACGGCCGUGCUGCUCCGGUUCGUGCGGCCCGCGUGCGCCGUGGGCGCCGACGAGGCCGCCGCCGCCGCGCGCCGGAUCGGCGCCGUCAGCCACCCGAACCUCGUGCCGCUCCGCGCCGUGUACGUCGGGCCCAGGGGCGAGAAGCUGCUCGUGCACCCUUCUACGCCGCCGGCUCGCUCCACCGAUUCUUGCAAGGUCAGUGCAUGCGCAUCACUCACUCUUGCUUUGGUCGACAUGUUCAUCCUGAUUCGUACAAAUGCACAAUUUUGCUACGUCAAAAGUGCACAUGAGCCCACACCGCAAAUGAAACUUUUUCUUAAUUCUAUUUGUUGCGACGAGAUCACACAUGAAACAUUAUGCAAUUACAUUUCGUCACAAAGGGAAAAGCAUGGCGUGGUUGCGAAGCGAGUUCGAAGACUCCAAAAAGGCAGAUCAGCAGCUUUCACUAAACAAAAAUCAUUUGGGCCAUCAGUUUCAACUUUCUUUUUCGAUAAUCAGUAUCAACUUUUGAGGCAAUGUGGAAUGUGUUACACAGUUUGGUUAUGGUACAGAGUCCAUUUCUUAUUUCCAGUUCAUGUUCGCUGGUUCUUAUUAUUAUUGCCUACUGCGGCCAGGCAGGAAACAUUUCUCUGCUUUGGUUGUUAGCCUGAGACCUCACAUGACACUGUCCUGAAGCAAUGGUCCUGGCCAUUAAUGUUACAUAAGGUCAUUAGAUCACCCUUCACAAUCGUGAUCAUUGGGGCACACAAUCAGUCCAGUGUGUUGCUCAGUUAAAACAGUGGUUAGUGCUGUAUAGUCGUCUGUCAAACAGUAGUGAACAUAGUCAUUGUUGUGCCUUAAUUGAAGGCACAUGCACACAUGUGCAGUCUUUUCAAGCCAAAACCAUGCAUUCAUAAUAUUGGCAUUUGUUGUGAUGGUAGCUGAUGAUAGUCUGCCUGUGUGCUGCCAUUUUCACAGAGGGGAUCGCCGACUCGCAGAGAUGGAGCCUGAUCUGCAAGCUCUCCGUGUGCAUCGCCAAGGGGCUCGACCACCUGCACACGGGGAUGGAGAAGCCGAUCAUCCACGGCAACCUCAAGACGAGCAACAUCCUCCUCGACGCCAGCUACGAGUGCAGGAUCUCGGACUACGGCCUCUACCUCCUGCUCAACACCGGCGGCGCCCACGAGAUGCUGGAGGCGUCGGCGGCGCAGGGGUACAAGGCGCCGGAGCUGGUCAAGAUGAGGGACGCCACCAGGGAGAGCGACGUGUACAGCCUGGGCGUGGUGCUGCUGGAGAUGCUCGCGCAGAAGGAGCCCGCCGGCGACGACGACCGCGCGCCCAGCUCCCGCGACAUCUUCCUGCCGGCGUCGUUCAAGAACCUGGUGCUCGAGAGGAAGAUCUCCGACGCCUUCAGCUCCGACCUCGUCAGGCAGAGCAGGAAGUCGGGGAACGAGAAGAAGCUGAACGCGUUCUUCGAGCUGGCCACGGCGUGCUGCAGCCCUUCGCCGUCGCUCCGGCCCAACACCAAGGAGAUACUCAGAAGGCUUGAGGAGAUAGCAAAAUAAUUAACUAAAUGUGGGUAGGUUCACCAUUCAGACGUAGCACGAGGCAAGGCUCAAGGAACGACUGAACCUCUGCUGGACGGAAAAUUGGAGAAUGGAGGCACACGGUUCAGAUAUCAUGGAAUGUGUAUAGUCAGAGUGUAAGCGCGGUGGAGGCCAUCGUCUCAAGAAUAUACUCAUUGUACGUAAUUUAUUUUCUUGUGCUUUGCUUGAAACCGACCAUGUACAAAGUGUUGAAAGAGUGGGGACGGCGUAUGCUGCAUGUUCAUGCAUCAAAAUCGCCAUGUCGAUGUAACCUUGGUCUGAUCUGAGUGUUAUAUCAGAUAUGAUUGGUAGGAGCAUUUGCUGUGCAGCUUGUGAUGUUCCCGGUGCAUGUGCGGUUGUUCUACUUGUACGCACUGACAAGGGCCGGCAGGGAGUGAUUCUCUCCAAGGGAAUUAUGCCCAGCGUUGCCUGAUUUCGGUCUCUGCACAGUCAUGCUGUCCUUAACAGUGGCUAGAUUCCGAAAUAGUAAGAAAUUAAGAUUCGGAACUUUUGGUUGUAGCUAGAUUGCUCAGCGGCAUGGCCUCAAAAACAGGUCACCAUCCACCACCUUCUCUUUCGCCGACACCAAAAGCGUAGCGUCCGUAACACACGGGCCUACAGUCUGCUGAUUUAUUUCGUAACCUGCAAAUGAAUCGCCUAUUCACUAUCCCACGUCAACAAAUGAUCAUCCUGUGCUAGCUUAAGCUUACCAAACGAUCUUCGGCUUGACGCCAGAAAAACUUACUGAUCAUCUCGAGUCUCCUUGUCCCUGAAUUAUCGUAAUGAGACGGAACAUGAAAGGCAUGUGUCAUGGCCUCCGCUGGCCGAGUGAUUAUCAGGUGGGUGAGGCCUUGGUUUGUGCCACCGGUUAGCCGCGGCGUCUCUCUCGCAGCGCAGGGAAAGCGGCAGCACGUGAAGCGCCAACGAACCCACCGAGAAAACUUGGAGCAAGCCUCCAAGCCUCCAAGCCGGGACCGCCUCUCGUCGUCCUCCAACUCCGCGGCCCCCUAAUGGUAGAUCUUGUGGGCACGUACAUACGUCCGUAGGCCGUAGCGUAGAUCAAAUGCCCCUGCGCGCGCUCAGGCCGGCCGGCCGGUCCGGUCCGGUGCACGGACGCCUGCGCUCGCCGUGCCGUAUCAUCAAUUUGCUAAUGCACAUGUCCCUUGGUCACAAAUCUUACGAUGUGUACUGUCGACGCGUUUUUACUGCCUCUGGCCCGUUGCCGACGCCGACGCCGAUGCCAUGGCCGUGCGCCGUGGUCCUCGCCCGUCCAUUCGCGGCUACUACAGUUGUGCGCGCCGUCCGUCGUGUAGCGUCUUGUGGGCAUGCGGCGUGCACCGUGUUUAACUUGGUAAGCUAAGCCGCACACGGCGAAGUGUUCGGGUCGGUGGGAGGCGGGUCACCGUACCUACCUAUGCGUCGACAUGUACCCGGUGUACGUACGUGCCGGGCCGCGACGGCGAUGGCUGGGGAGAGGAGAUGGUGGUGGAUUGGUGGUGGCGGUGGUUGCGCGUGGCUGGCGCGGCGGAGUAGGAGUGGUAGGGCGUCGGGGCGGUACCACGCGGAUUGGGUGCGCGUGCACGGCGCCGAGCGCAGGGGGCUGCGUGGCCGGAUGAUAGAUGCGUCGCACGCAGGCGCAGGCAUGUGGGCGUCAUGUGGUAGGGAGUUGGCUGUGGGUGCUACUACUGGGUGAGAUAAGGCUCUGAUAAGAUGUGAUUUGGCUACUGCCGCUCGCGAUUCGCUGCUGCGCUGUCUACUCAUUGCGAGAGUUGGUGCUUGUCACUGAAUGUGAAUGGUACCGUACCGGAGUUAAAUCAAGUGAAAGCAGCAAGUACCACUGCCGGUGCCGGGGUUUAUUUAUGUUGGGUUGCACUGCGGCGCUGCAAUCAUCGCUCUUCCGUGCGGCUUCAUUCGUUCCUUUGCUGGGGCCGGGGGAAACGGGUUGGCCUUGGCCGUCGCCGGCCGAAUGCAAUAUGGCAUCGCGACCCAAAGCUUUUGCUGCGGUAUUGCCGACUUGCAAGUUAAGUUUUUUUUUUUAAUGAACGAGCAAGCUCGGUUGAGAUCCUUGCCUUUUCAACCUUGAACAGCGGUAUUUGUUUUGAUAGAGUAUUUUUCAUUAAUUCAUAUUGAAACACAAGCAGAUGUACAAAAUACAACGAGCACACAGCCAGCCACUACACGACUAGGAUGCACACAACCAAUACACACACAAAGAUAUUCAUCACAAGAUCAAAACUAUGCCUAGGUCAAAUGGAAAAGAAAGAGAAAAGAAAAGGAGAAAGGACUUCGCCGAAGCAGUAGAAACAACCAUUGAUGUGGCAUGCCCUACUGCAAACAUGACUAGUACACAAGUCAUGGUGAGUACGUCGGUCAAUGACAAGCGGUUGCAGGCAACUUCGGCAGUCGUCGACAAAGGGGUGCGAACGGAGGAUAUUACGAAUGAGGCAGCGACAAUGCAUGUGGACGAGGCGGAUGUCGGAAAGAAAGUUGUUGAUGUGAGUUGUAAUUAUGUAAGGACAUGAGGAUUAUAUUGUAAAAGAACAAAAAUCUAAAUGAAGGGAGGUGAGAAGGGGAUCGGUAGAAGACCCCAGAUUUUUCCCCAAUGUCUCCUCUCCUUCAUGAACCCUAGUUCACAAAUCCAUGAGUGACAAGAUGGUAUCAGGGCGGGACGAAUCCUGUGUGGUUCUCCUGUGAUUUCGAUUGAUUUUGGUCGUCGGUGCGGUGCGGUGCUGUGUCGCUCCUAUUGUUGGAGGUGCUUCUGCUGCUGGCUUUGUUGUAGGUGUCGGGAAGCGACCUCGAUUCUGCCUGAAUCAAGUACAACCGGGGAGGCUCCUGCAGCUACCAGUUGAAUUGAAUAGAGCCUGGGCGUCUAGACUCCCUCCCCCGCUACAAGCUAAUUUUUUCUCUCCUGCCAUCCGGCGCCGUGAGCAGGUCUAGUUCGUCCCCAACUUGACUCUCGGACUCCUUGAGCUUCUGUGUUUUUUAUUGCUUUAGAAGAAGAAUCAGUGUUGCCUGGAGCUGCUUUGGUGGUCAGCUGGCCGGAUUAAAUAAUACUAUUUGCUAGUGUUGCAAUCCGAAGUAAUUGCCGUACUCUUUGGCACAUUGUUGAGCCGUACUAGUUGGUUCCUCUUUGUGCUGCACGUAUUUGAUAAGAAGAACCAAGUACUAGUGUUGGAAUAUAUUCUUGCUCACUGAACCAUGGGAGAUCCAAGUACAGAAAAACAGGGGAUUCUAGUGUUGAUAAGAUGUAUGAAAUAUUUAGCAAACUGCUUAAGCACCAGCAGGCUGCUGAGCCAGUUAAGCAUACACUUGAGCCAAAUCCAGUCAAACUAUCAGGACCUGGUGACUACAUCAGUUGGGCACGCCAUGCCAAAUUGAUUUUGAGCGCCAAUGAGUAUGAUUAUUUACUUGUUGGGAGUGAAGAAAGUUUGGAGAAAGGCGGUGCGGGCAGGAAACAAAUCAAUGAUAAAGUACUAGUAUGGCUGUUGGAAAGUAUGGAACCAAAAAUAAGAGAACAAGUGGAAGGCAUGGACACUGUUUGUGAGGUCCGGUCAUCUUUGAAGAAACAAUUUGCAGGGAAAACAAAUAAAAUGCAAGCCACCCAUAUCAUGCAUGAGUUAACUAAUUUGAAGCAGCGCUCAAGAUCUGUAACAGAGUAUCCAGGUGAAGUAAAAAAAUUAUAUAGAAACUUACAUUAUCAUCACCCUUUUGAACCUGUUGACAAGGAUGACUUGGCAAUUCAUCAUGUGUGGUUUGAGUCGUUUGUGAGCAAGCUCUUUCUUGAUGGCCUAGACCAGGAACUAAACCUCCGUCGUCAAUUGAUAUUUGGAAUGCCUGAGUGGCCUAGUCUUGAUGAUAUUAUUUCUAGCAUGAUUGAGGAGGAGACUCGUUUGGCACAACCGAAGGAGGAUGGUCAGGAGCGUGCAGAUGCUCGUGCUGCAUUAUCCAUACAACCUCGCCGUGCUACAAAUUCCUUUGGUAAGGUGGAUAAAAGCAAAUUGCUUUGUGACCAUUGCAAGAGAAAAGGACACACCAAGGAUGAGUGUUUUGAGUUGCAUGGUUAUCCACCUUGGUGGGAUAAAGGGAGAUCUCAGCUAGGGGGAGCUCGGGGUUCAAACAAAAGACAAGCUAAUUACAAUGCAUCUGCAAGGGAACUACAUGUGGUAGAUAUGCAAGCUCUUGAGGAUUUCAAAUCCAAGCUCAAAUUCUCUGAAGGCUCAUCUUCGUCCCAAGGUUCCUCCAAAGUUGAUUCUAGCUUUAAUGCCAUCACCCAAGGUAUGGAAUCCCACCAAGCCCAGUCAAAACCAUGGAUAAUUGAUACUGGAGCUACUAACCACAUGACAGGUGCCUCAAACUUGUUUACUUCAGGCACCUUCCAGUCCAGGCCAGCCAGGGUCCCGGCGACCCUCCUACUCCUACUCCUACCCCUCCCAACUGCCGCUGCCACUGUGCUCACCGAUUCUCAACGGAGGAAAUGGCCAUGCACAGCACACCACACCGCAGUGCACCUACCUAGGGUCGGUCCUCUACCUACCAACCCCCCCACUUUAACGCUAAUCUCCAACAGAAAAAAGGCCAANNNNNNNNNNNNNNNNNNNNNNNNNNNNNNNNNNNNNNNNNNNNNNNNNNNNNNNNNNNNNNNNNNNNNNNNNNNNNNNNNNNNNNNNNNNNNNNNNNNNCGAUUCUCAACGGAGGAAAUGGCCAUGCACAGCACACCACACCGCAGUGCACCUACCUAGGGUCGGUCCUCUACCUACCAACCCCCCCACUUUAACGCUAAUCUCCAACAGAAAAAAGGCCAAAGGCGACGGAGGCUGGACUCACUGGACUGGAAGCCACCCGGCCGGCCUCCUCCUCCUCCUCCUCAGUAGCCCUCACUCUCCCACACUGCUCACUGGUUGGUCGACGAUGAUAAAAACCUCCACACGAUAGGAAUCUCAAGCCAUCCUCCUCCUCCUCCUCCUCCCGGCAGUUUCCUCCACGGCUCCACCACCCCGAGCCCAAGCCAACCGAGCAAAGCGCACGCCAAAGCGAGGGGCUUUGCCUCGAAUCCUGGGCGAGCCGAGCCACGAGCCCCACCACCACUGCUUUCGCCUUUCCGUUCAUUCCAAGAACCGGCGUACGUACAUGGAGCCGGCGGCGGCGGACGGGGCCUCGGACGAGCCGGUGCACAAGGGGCGGACCAACUCCAUCCUGCUCCCCAUCCUCGCCGUGCUCCUCGCCUAC